rnacentral:rRNA from 1 species
UACGGAGGGAGCUAGCGUUGUUCGGAAAUACUGGGCGUAAAGCGCACGUAGGCGGCGCAGCAAGUCAGGGGUGAAAUCCCGGAGCUCAACUUCGGAACUGCCUUUGAUACUGGCAAUCUAGAGUCCGGAAGAGGUUAGUGGAAUUCCCAGUGUAGAGGUGAAAUUCGUAGAUAUUGGGAAGAACACCAGUGGCGAAGGCGGCUAACUGGUCCGGUACUGACGCUGAGGUGCGAAAGCGUGGGGAGCAAACAGG